GACUGCUAGUCGAGCGCCUUCCAGCCACGAAGAAGGCGCGGCACACAGCUCAGUAACACGUGGCUAACCUGCCCUCGGGACGAGAACACCCCCGGGAAACUGGGGCUAAUUCUCGAUAGGCGAAGAACUCUGGAAUGAGUCUUUACCCAAAAGACGUUUAGAUCAUGCUUCUAGGCGUCGCCCAAGGAUGGGGCCGCGACCGAUCAGGUAGUUGGUGAGGCAAUGGCUCACCAAGCCUUUAACCGGUGCGGGCCGUGGGAGCGGGAGCCCGGAGAUGGGCACUGAGACAAGGGCCCAGGCCCUACGGGGCGCAGCAGUCGCGAAAACUUUGCAAUAAGCGAAAGCUUGACAGGGCUAUCCCGAGUGCCAUCCGCUGAGGAAGGCUUUUACCCAGUCUAGUAAGCUGGGGGAAUAAGGAGAGGGCAAGUCUGGUGUCAGCCGCCGCGGUAAUACCAGCUCUCCGAGUGGUGUGGAUGUUUAUUGGGCCUAAAGCAUCCGUAGCUGGCUAGGUAAGUCCCCUGUUAAAUCCACCGAAUUAAUCGUUGGAUCGCGGGGGAUACUGCUUGGCUAGGGGACGAGAGAGGCAGACGGUAUUUUUGGGGUAGGGGUGAAAUCCUAUAAUCCCAGGAAGACCACCAGUGGCGAAGGCUGUCUGCUAGAACGCGCCCGACGGUGAGGGAUGAAAGCUGGGGGAGCGAACCGGAUUAGAUACCCGGGUAGUCCCAGCUGUAAACGAUGCAGACUAGGUGUUUGGACGGCCACGUGCCGUUCUAGUGCCGCAGGAAAGCUGUUAAGUCUGCCGCCUGGGGAGUACGAUCGCAAGAUUGAAACUUAA
rnacentral:rRNA from 1 species